GUAAACUUCCUCUUCCUUCUGUAGCACCAACGGUAAAACACACACACACACACACACACACACACACACACACACACACUUCUCAGGUAAUCUGUUCCUUUCACAGACAGACUCUUUCCUUGAACGGUCUGCGGUGAUUCCCCUUUGGGUAAACACACUAAAAACAUUAAAAACACACGAGCACACACCUUCAAACUGACCUACUUCCAUUAUCUUCUCAUUUUUCACUCAUUAGCAGUUCAACUGAGCGUAGUCCAAGGUUAGUUUUGCUCCACCUCAACAAAAACAGCCAGAGAUUUACAACAAUGUUUCGUUAAGUGAAAGUUUUUGAUAUUUUUAUUCCUCACAUACUGUCAGGGUUAAAUUUCUGACUAUCCAUCCAGCUCUUACUGCUUAUCCAGGGUCGGGUCUUCCUCAACACCUCACCACAGAUGGUUAGAUACCUAGGCCACCUCAUCUGACUCGACCCUACUCCAAGUUCCUCUUGGAUAUUGACUCUAUAUCUCAAAAAGUUGUCUAAAAAGACAAUUUACGGAAACUAUUUAUUUAUUAUUAUUAUUAUUGUUUCUACUAAAAUAACUAUUACUGUUGUUAUU